GCAGCUAUUUUGCCGUAAAAGUCGUAGAAGCGUUAUCUUUGCAAGAGUUACUUUACAGUCAAUAAGAUUUCAGAAUUUAUAUUGUUUAAAUUGGAGCUAUACAUGUACACUACAUCAUGAAGCGGUUAUCGAAUGUUCCCGAAAAAUCUGCCUAAAAAAGUGGGCCAAAUGGCGUCCCGUUGUACCAUAGGCGGCUAAUGACAAAAUAACUUGAUCUCGUACGAGACGGCGAUUACAAGUUUAAUGCAUACGAAUUUCUUCUCUUAAGGCAAUAAGGUUAAACACUGGUGGGUGGUUGUGAUUGGAUGUUGGUCUAGCUGUGUACCAGAAAAGAUUUGUUGGGGGAUAAAUGUAAAUUUCCAACUGAAAAUAAUGGCAUUUCUUCUCUAAAACAAUGAAAAACUGCAUAACAUGGAGAUAAAUAGAAUUUGUUAUGUUUUGAAGGGCAUCACAAUAUAAAUGGCUGAAGGAACUACUGCAAUAGAGCUAUCAGAUAACCAGUGAAAACAGUCACACCAAGAAUUUGAUUGUUCAAAUUCUGAAUGAUGUUGACAAUGGUAAGGGAAGAAAGCAGUAUGAAUCUUUGCUGCAUAGUUCACUUCAUGUUCAUAUCUAUCAGGUAUCUUAUAGCAUAUGAACGGGUCAAUUUAUAAAAAGAAAUAGCUUAGAUGGGAUUUAUGGAAUUUCAACAAUGUCAGAGACUUCUCUUGUUAACUGGAAAUGUAAUUUCAAUUCUCCUUUAAGGUUAACAGAAAAUUCUCUGAAUACCGUCAAUCUAUUUGAAUGCUAAAUUUGUUUUUGACGGAAAUGCCAUGAACUUGUAAGGUCAUUUGACAGGAGACAUUGAUUUUGUGUUGAUAUUGGAAUCAGAAUGGAAUUCACCUGUUCAGAUGUACCAACUGGCCCCUGGACAGGAACCAGUAGCCUGAAAAUGAUUUUGAGUUACCUACAAACAACAAAUGUUGGGUUGGUAAUGUCUACUUCUUAUAUUUUUAGUAGGUUGUUGAAGGAAUGCUGAUUGUUUAUCUGCGAGUGGAAAUCUACUUGGCCACACUUAAAUUUGACAAAUAUCCUGAGAUUGAUGAAACCCAAAUGGAAAAAUUUAGCAAAAGAGAAAUGCUAGUAGGAUCCUGAAAAUAGUAACACUCAUCAAUGGAUGAAAUUAGGCAAUCAACUAAUGAUAGGUUAUGGAAACCAGCCAAUCCAGGAAGUUGAAUGGCAAAUCAAACUGGUGGCUGAAGUGCAAAACGAUGAUGGAACAGGAUAAAAAAGACAUCAUAUUCAACAUGCAACUUCUUAUCCAUCAUUGUAAGAAUUAAUGUAAAGGCGACAUUGUGGGGAAUUGAAAAAGGAGAAUCUUCUAGGCAAUCAAGGGGAAAUUGUAAAAGGUUUUGCCGACGUAUUAAAAGUAAUGUAUUAAUCAUUGUGUGUUUGGCCAACACCCUUGCAUUCUGUCCAAGGAUGUUCAAGACAUGCUGUUUACCUACAUCGAAAAGGCUAUUUUUAAAUUUAUGUAUAAAUACAUUUCAAAUUUUGUUUAGUUGAGAGUCGGCUGCCGUUUUCAGAAAACCAGCAACGGCAACUACACACCUUUCUCUUUGACGGUUUCUACGAAGAUUUGAGUCGGAUUUUGAAGAAGCUUUCCGUUGAACUCAAAGACGCUGAUGGACGUUCAGAUGCGGAAGUAACAAGUGAACGCUGGGAAAAUGAUCGUAAACGAAACAAUUCUGUAAUAGUAGAUUCUUUCAAGUCGUUCUUGGUUUGUCCGGAGUGCAACAAGGUCUCGGUUACAUUUGACGCUACUUUGUUUCUAUUGCUUCCAAUACUAGUAUUUAAAAAAAGGGCAAAGACCAAUUUAGUUGCAUCUGGUACGGUUGGAUCCUGAGCAGGAGAUCAUGAGCUAUCGAGUGAAAUCGUUGCAAUUCCAGAUUUCCAUUCAGAACUCAAUUGUUGAUAUGAGCUACCGGAAAGGCUUGGGACACCGUGCAUAUGCUGUUAUUUUACGUGUGGACCUAAAAAAGGAAAACGGAAUUAUUACGACUACGAUUCCUUAUUCGGUAUCCUCUUCAUCCAUCAAGUGUCUAUGGAAGGAAUUGAUCGUGAUCAGUUAUACCGAUGCAUAGUGACUCGUAUGAAAUGCAGCAAAUCACCAGGAUCUGGCAGACCUGUCAUCAUUUUGUGUUAUCAUGGAUUCAUCGUAUUCAAAUGAAAAUCUGUGAGAGUGAAAUGGACACUGAAGAUGCCGAGAUGUCCCUCGCAAAACGGCAAUGAACGGAGAUUAAAGGAUAGAUUCUUUUUCAAAGACUUCGCAGUCUGGCGACUUUUUCUAAAAUAUGGAUUUGGUCAAGUUGAAUGGAAAUUCGAGUCUUUUCAAAACCAAGAAAAAUUUAAGCCAAUUACUCUUGCUCGUAACUUCGAUAUUCCUAAUCAAACAUUUAUAAUGUUUUAUAAUCUUAGGUAUUGUCUUACCUGUAAGAAGUCCUACCUCUCAUCCAAUUUAAAACGUUUUCUAAAGUGAAAUUAAUUCUCAACACCCGUCAUAUACAAACUGUGCGAAGAAUGUACGAUAGCACCGUGGGAAAACAUGUUAUGGACAUCCUCUUCAGAAAGGUUUACCAUUUAUAAUUCUUUUUGUUUCUUCUCUCACAGAUCUUCAUAUAAUCCAUAUAAGUAAUAGCUUUAGGCUACAUUAAAAACAUGCUUCGUGACGGCUCUGCUAGAUGGCGUUAAGAAUGACAUCUAUCUCCACGAGAGGCGCUUAAAACUGUUGCUCACCAGAUGGCGAGGCGUUGGAAACUAAUACCAGAUUUUCGUGAAUAGCACGUUACUUACUAGGAUAUCAAUCAAUGGGAUCGGUGUUUGCGUUCGGUUCCGCAGUUUCAGGCGUAGGAUGUCGACAAAUUUCUUAGUUUCAAGAUCAUGUCCACUGAGCACAUUUUAUAAUGAGCCAGCCGAAUAUGGGUUAAGUUCCAUGCAUCAAAAAUUGGUUGUAUCAUACAUCUCGUGUUCGUUGCCUUAUAGUUUUGAAAAGAAUAAUUGAACGUUGUUCUGAAACUCAAUGUUACUGAAUGUUAUUUUUGAUGAUACCUACACCACAUUAUUAUGAAAACAAAACAAAAAAGCCUGGGAAGUUGCAGCCCGUCAUAAAAGGUAAAAUCUAUUGCCGCGUGGAUACCAGAUGGCAGUAGUGUGGUGAUUGUGCUGUUCCAGGUCAUUUGAAAGUUGACCUUGUCAUAAUCUGACAAAGUUAGUAACCAGAUGUUUUUGGGCAAACUACUGUAUGUUUGCCACUCAUCACUGCCCAUGAUUACCCAGUGAAAGGAUUCACACUCUGUUUGCCACUGGGUACUAGGUCUCAUACAUUCAUUGCGAUCAAAAUCAUGAUCCUAAACACACAAGGGAUGCUGACACUGUAGUUUACCAUUAUUGUUGAUUGCAGCAUAUUCAUAUAUGUUGGGAAACAUCCACUUUUUCAUCAUCAAACAUUCCAUCACCAAACAUCAUCAACCACAACAUCUACCAAUCCAUUACUUUUUCAGAAGCCAGGUUCUCCCUGUUACUUAGCCAGCUGUAAACAGGCAUAGGCUUUGAGACCAUCUCCACCUUUUGGACUGCAAAUGUUAAUCUUCCUUCUGUGAAACACUUCUGUUUCGACAAUUUCUGCAGUUUUGCCCCAGUGGAUCACAUGCAACUAUAUUUUCUUGCUCUUCCUGCUGCUUUUGUCUACGUCUUCACCUCAUCGCUGUCUUCUUUGACGUCUUUGCCUCAUCGCUGUCUUAAUCUACGCUGUAGCCUUUGCCACAUCACUGUCUUCAUCUACACUGUAGCCUUCGCCCCAUCGCUGUCUUCAUCUACGCUGUAGCCUUCGCCCCAUCGCUGUCUUCAUCUACGCUGUAGCCUUCGCCACAUCGCUGUCUUCAUCUACUCUGUUGCCUUCACCUCAUCUCUGUGUUCACCUACGCCGUCACAUUCGCGUCAUCGCUCGCUGUCUUCAUCUACCCUUUCACAUUUGCCUCAUCGGUGUCUUCGUCCCAUUGCCGUCUUCAAUCCAUCUAUCCAAGAAAUCCAUGGCUUAGGAACACGGAAAUAAUGACCAAAAAGGGUGCAUCAGCCGACGGCAAUGGAGGGAGGUCACCGUGGAACGUCGCUCUGGUAUUGUUUUGUUUUGCAUUGUAGUGUAUAAGUUAACCCGUUGGCUGCCACCCCGUUUGCGUCCCAUUUUUUUUGUAGCUUGUAGGGACCGGGCGCUGUUCUGCCUCAUGGUCUAUGCCAUGGGGGGAACAGUCGCCGCGCCUAAAGGCUUUGUGCCUUUAGGCGCCGUAGGCAAUGCACCAGUAGGGACUUCUCUUUGUCGGUGCGGUGGUAGAUUCCUGGGGUGUGCAUUCCCGGAAUGGUUUCUAUCACCGUGCCACCCCGGACUUGUCUUCGGACAAGUCCCACCUUGUUCGCGAUCCUUCUGACGUGAUGCGUAGCAAUAGUAGUUUAAGCAACCUAUGGGUUGCAUGGCCUGGCAGCCAACGGGUUAACUUAGUUUAAGUGUAUGUAUAUUUGUGUAUGUAUUUAUAUGUUAUGUAUUAUGUAAUGUGUUGUAUAAAACAGUGGUG